UCCCCGCACCCGCAGCCCCCGCCGUCGUCCUCGCGGCCAGCCGAGGACAGCCACCGCGCCCGCAAAUCACACGACCAUGCCCUUCCAUGCCCGCAAAUCACGUCACCCCUUCCAUCCAUGGCAGUCGCGCUCCCUCUGCGCCCUUCCAUCCAUGGUCGCGGAUCCCUACGCGCCGCGAUUCUUCCCAUACGCUCCCUCUGCGCCCUUCCAUCCAUGGCCGCGGAUCCCCGAUGUUGAGAUCUGGGAGCUGAAGCUGGAGAUCUCGCGGAUGCGGGUGCGGCUGACGGCGGACGACGGACGGCGCAAGAAUUGCGGCGGCCGGAGCUCCCAGUGCUCCGACGGCAAGGCCCGCAGGCGGUAGAAGGCAUCCUUCGCCUAUGACUGAUGCUUCGCUGCUGGCGUCGACAGUGGAGGCGCGACAGGCGGUGAUCGUGGAUGGAUGCGGUCUCAGCGUCUGGAGGAUCGGUCGGAGCUAAGCAGGGACGGUGGCUGCUGACAGCUGAGUGAUACGUGUAUUUCUAGGAAGAUCAAGCCCAGAGCUGUCGCAGAGCCAGAAGUGCAUCUACUUCCACGGCACCGUCAGCAAGGACCUCCUCACACACAAGUUGGUCAUCCAGCUCUCUAGGAAGAUCAAGGACGACAUAUGAAGACUGGAGUACUUUGAAGUUUGAUGAACAACAAGGACAUCCUCACGCACAAGUUUGAUGAACAGUCAACAAAAUUCUUGAGCCAGUUCACUCCAACCCAAUGGGACAAGGAUCAGUGGCAUCCUUUCAUGGGGCCACUGCGGUCCAUCCAAGUGUUGUUCAUUUGUGUUGUCUUCAUGAUCGUGGAGAUCAACACAUUCUUCCUUAAGCUUGUGUCCUGUUGCCGAGUUCCUCAAAAGGACAAAGUCGUUACUGUGGUUCAGUCUCUACUUGAAUGAUAUUAGUGACAAGGUAAAACUAUUCCUUUAUUGUUAAUUAUUUUCUAUAUGCAUGAUGGCAGUAACUAAAAUAUUGGAUUGUGUUGGACAUACAACAAGUUCUAGAAGCCAUUAGCUAACCACAUAAUCACUGACCUUAACCCAGUGACCAUUUAACAACGUAUAUAAUAUAAAUUUACAUUAGAUGCUUUAUUUUUGCACUGUAGACCUAUUGCACAUAUAAGUGCUCCUUAGAACUUAGGUUGUUAUUUUCAGUCUCAUUAUUCCAUUCUUUACUAAAGAAUUGUACAUCAAACAAAUUUAUGUAGUACAUAUAUUGCAGAGGUCCUCAAAAUCUACACCAAGUUAUGUCAGGGACUAUAUCUCCACUCAACUCAUUUUAACCUUGUACAUUUCAAUCAAAUCCAAAUACAUGUGAAAUAAAUGUAGUAGGUUACUCUGACCAGUGUUGCGCUCGCGCGCCAGCAUGCUCGGACUAACCAACGAAAAAGGUGAAGUGGGAUGGUAUACCAUUUGCAAUUGACAUUUAUGGUUUUUGCUACGCUGGCACUCAGUGUUUCCAAAUAUCUAUUAGUCAAUGUGCGAUCGUACCAAAUUCAACAGGGCUCUCUACAUAUGGUAUGUAUAACUAUCUCAAUUUGAACUGCAUUCUGGUGGGAGUCGCUCUUAUUGUUUAGUAAUCAUUUUUCUCAAUGUUAUGUCUAACCGUGUUAUUCAAUUUUGCAAUAUGCACGGCAAUUUAUGGUGCUAUAUCUAUUAUAGGCUACCUCAUGUUUGGAGACAAGAUGCUCUCAUAAAUAACUUUCAAUCUUCUGAAAGAUUCAUUUGCAGCAAAAGUUGCACGAUGGACCACGAUAACUAUUAUUGUCGGUUUCUCUGAUUCAAUUAAGUGGGAACCCUUGGUAGUGAUUCAAUUAAGUGAGAAGUGAGAACCCUCAUUGUGCUAUUUUUUUGUUUCAGGGUUGUUAUCUAUCUUUGUAGCCGAAGAAACAAUCCUGAGAAAGAAUGGAAAGCUCCUUGGCUAGGAAUAAUGUUUCUAAGUGGAAUCACCUGGGUUAUGCGAGAAGCACAUCAAUGGAUUCCACUGGUCCUCUGUUAGCUGGUAGGAGAAGUAGCAGACAUGGCUCAAGUGAGAUGGGGGACUGCAUAUUCAGCUCAAUGAGACAUUUUCUUCAGUUGGCGAAUCAAUUACUAGGAGAAUUUGUUAGAUAUUAAGAUUAAUAGUAACAUGUAUUAAUUCAAUUUUAUAUAAUCGUUGUGCACCAACAUUUUAUUUGAAAGGGAGAAAUAAAUCCUAGCAAAAUUGACUAUGGGAGAAGGGAUAUAGGAACAAAAAUGGAAUAUGGGAGAGGGAACAAACUCAUCGGCCUAUGCGCCUUGAUUAGAAUGUCUCCUAAAAGUUUUAGGUAUUGAAAAUAUGAUAGGACAUUUAUUGUAAUAUGUUUAUUUUCUGAAAUACUAAUUUUGAUGUAUAGAAUAUUGAC